rnacentral:rRNA from 1 species
UACGUAGGUGGCAAGCGUUGUCCGGAUUUACUGGGUGUAAAGGGCGUGCAGCCGGAGAGGCAAGUCAGAUGUGAAAUCCACGGGCUCAACCCGUGAACUGCAUUUGAAACUGUUUCCCUUGAGUGUCGGAGAGGUAAUCGGAAUUCCUUGUGUAGCGGUGAAAUGCGUAGAUAUAAGGAAGAACACCAGUGGCGAAGGCGGAUUACUGGACGAUAACUGACGGUGAGGCGCGAAAGCGUGGGGAGCAAACAGG